AACGAACGCUGGCGGCAUGCCUAACACAUGCAAGUCGAACGAGAUCUUCGGGUCUAGUGGCGCACGGGUGCGUAACGCGUGGGAAUCUGCCCUUUGGUUCGGAAUAACAGUUGGAAACGACUGCUAAUACCGGAUGAUGACGAAAGUCCAAAGAUUUAUCGCCAGAGGAUGAGCCCGCGUAGGAUUAGCUAGUUGGUGUGGUAAAGGCGCACCAAGGCGACGAUCCUUAGCUGGUCUGGGAGGAUGAUCAGCCACACUGGGACUGAGACACGGCCCAGACUCCUACGGUAGGCAGCAGUGGGGAAUAUUGGACAAUGGGCGAAAGCCUGAUCCAGCAAUGCCGCGUGAGUGAUGAAGGCCUUAGGGUUGUAAAGCUCUUUUACCCGGGAUGAUAAUGACAGUACCGGGAGAAUAAGCUCCGGCUAACUCCGUGCCAGCCGCCGCGGUAA
rnacentral:rRNA from 1 species